rnacentral:rRNA from 1 species
AUGGAUUCGUGGACACACACCUUCUGCGAUGCUUCCAUCACCAUUCCCUGCCCUGACCCUGACAAGACCCACAGCUCAGAUCGCUAUGACGUCGAGGCACAGACAAUGGUUGUGCCAGCUCCGCCUGGAGAGGAGGUGGCAGAGGCUGUGGGGGGCUCUCGUGGGUGGCUGCGCUCUUCAGUGGACAGACUCUCAGGCAGCUGGAGGGGAUGCUCCAGCAGUCAUGCCACUGCAGUUGUACUACCGGUGUCCUCACGGCGUACCACGGGGAGCUGGAGAGUCAACGACUCUGACAAGGAUGACACAGAGGCUGUUGGUGGCUCUCGUGGGUGGCUGCACUCUUAUCUGGCUACACUCUCGAGCACCUGGAGUGGACGCUCAGAGAGCCAUUCCACUAGAAUGGUGUCAUCGGUGUCCUCAGGGUGCACAACUGGAAGGCUGAGCCUGGUACUGAGUGGCUGCGGCAGUACUGAUUUGUGUUCCAGGAGCUGGGAUCCUGAGGCAGCCAUGCAGAAGACGUAG